rnacentral:rRNA from 1 species
UACGUAGGGUCCGAGCGUUGUCCGGAAUUACUGGGCGUAAAGAGCUCGUAGGUGGUUUGUCGCGUUGUCCGUGAAAACUCACAGCUCAACUGUGGGCGUGCGGGCGAUACGGGCAGACUAGAGUUCGGUAGGGGAGACUGGAAUUCCUGGUGUAGCGGUGAAAUGCGCAGAUAUCAGGAGGAACACCGAUGGCGAAGGCAGGUCUCUGGGCUGACACUGACGCUCAUGCACGAAAGCGUGGGGAGCAAACAGG